AACGCGAAGAACCUUACCUGGGCUUGAACCGCUACUGACCAACGGUAGAAAUAUCGUCUUCCCGCAAGGGACAGUAGUAGAGGUGCUGCAUGGCUGUCGUCAGCUCGUGCCGUGAGGUGUUGGGUUAAGUCCCGCAACGAGCGCAACCCUUACUCGUAGUUGCUACCCGCAAGGGAGAACUCUACGAGGACUGCUCCGGAUAACGGAGAGGAAGGUGGGGAUGACGUCAAGUCAGCACGGCCUUUAUGUCCAGGGCUACACACGUGUUACAAUGCACGGUACAGACUGUUGCGAACCCGCGAGGGGGAGCUAAUCGGAUAAAACCGUGCUCAGUUCGGAUUGCAGUCUGCAACUCGGCUGCAUGAAGCUGGAAUCGCUAGUAAUCGCUGAUCAGCAAGCAGCGGUGAAUACGUUCCCGGGCCUUGUACACACCGCGUGUCU
rnacentral:rRNA from 1 species